UACGUAGGGUGCAAGCGUUGUCCGGAAUUAUUGGGCGUAAAGAGCUCGUAGGCGGUUCCGUAAGUCGGAUGUGAAAACUCAGGGCUCAACCCGGAGACGCCAUCUGAUACUGCGGUGACUGGAGUCUGGUAGGGGAUCACGGAAUUCCUGGUGUAGCGGUGAAAUGCGCAGAUAUCAGGAGGAACACCGAUGGCGAAGGCAGUGAUCUGGGCCAGUACUGACGCUGAGGAGCGAAAGCGUGGGGAGCAAACAGG
rnacentral:rRNA from 1 species